CAAGCAGCAGAAAUUAAAAAAUGACAAGGUAGACUUAAGCUACUGGAGAGGACGGUGACCAAAAAACAAAUCCGGACAAGGACCGCAGUGAAACAGCUAUCAAGUCUACACGUCCUCAAGGAAGAUACAAGAGAUUGGAGAGAAGAAAACUUGUCGACACAUAUUCCACCAAGGAUCAUGAAGAAAUUCUUGUAUGUUUUUCUAUUUUGAGUUAUAUCUUGUGGUUUUUCUAAUGUUUAUGCUUAUAAAUUUGGAUACUAAAGAGUUUGACUGGAGACAAGCAUGACGGUAAUGCAUUCUAAAUGUUCAGUUUACCUCUCUUGCUACCUUGCAAUAUUUGUAACAAGUUGUUAAUGAUGUGACAUACACUAAUAGCUUGAGACAUUAGGUCAAGUAAACUAGUUGAUUUAGGCUUUUAAUCGUUAUUUGCUUCCUUAAAGUUUAAAUACAUUUCUUUCUCUUUGAUUAAUAUUU